GGCCAUGUUUUGUCGACUGUAAACUUGAAAAAUGGACUCUCCAUGGCAAACUCUUGGUGGCGCACUGCAUUUGUGAUUUGCCCAAAUCCUGUCAGAUUAAGAAAAGUGAUUCCGUAAAUCAAAAAGAGUUGCAACCAAUGUUUGCAAAAAACGUUUGCAAACAUUCAAAAUAAAAUAAAGUAUGUGUCAUUUGUACCAUAAGUGCACAAAGCAGUACGUGCACACGGUUCGUUCUGUUCACUGCAACUUUUUAAAAAAGUGUUCACAAAGUGCCAUCAACUGUUCUUGCACGGAGUCAAUAAGAAUCACAGAGAAGCAGCAUUUGCCCCUGUUUUGGUAAAAAAAAAAAAAAGGAAACUGAUCCAUUGUUUUUAGACUUUGAACAGUUUCUUCAAAAUCAUGCUUUUAUAAGUGCUGAGCUGGCUGCAAGUGGGUGGUUAUGGGUGUUAAUCAUAAGCUUUAUCAAGUAUUAUUAAAAGAAAAUUAAGAAAUAUUUAAUCACAUUUAUUCUACUGAUAUUGUACGAGUGCACGCUGCACUUAAGAUAUGUAUGAUAAAUUUUUAAUACAUUGAUUGAUAGAUAUAUGGAUUUUAUACAGUUCUAUCAGCAGGGAGAGAACGGUGGCAAAAUUUCUUGCCCAGAUUUUAACUCUAUAUUGCCAAUAAGACAUUUAUGGACACAUAAUGACAUUUAUGAUGAAAUAUUUAGAAUAAGAAAUUUGAAUGCAGUUUAUAAUAAAAAAAGAUACUUUAUUGUGUAUGUGAAAGUAUAAAUAUCUAUUGUAUAAUUUGUUUUAAUGUCAAACUGUUUUUUUUUCUCCAAAGAUUUGUAAACAGUCGAUAUUCCUUAAAGUAAUAUUGUUUGGACAUAUUUCUGCAUCUCACUAAAAAAAUGGUCAAAAUUUAUUAUCAUUUGAGUGCCAUACAUUCAAUAAUUAGCUCAUAAGUGUUAAGCAGACAAGAAUAAAUAAGCCUCUGUAAUAAUGACGUCACACUUUGUUUACAUGUGCACUUUCCUAUGGAGCCAGUGGGGGUCCACGGUCCACUGAGCACCAUAGGAAAGCACACACAUAAACAAAGUGUGACGUCAUCAGUCAUCAGAGGCUUAUUAUGAAGUCAGUUUCCAAGCAAAACCCUUUUUGAUUUUACAAACAAAAUCCCCCAUGAUCAGGCUUCAGCAGAUGGUCACAGCUUUGCAUAUUUUUUUUUUAUACAACUCGAACAUCGGUCGUUUAAUGAACUAAGUUUAUAGUUAUUUUUAUGUCAUGACAUGUUUUGUAAUACUACUGUUUUUAAGAAUAAGACUGGCGAUCAUACCACCAUGUGUUGGGAUUUAUUUUUGUACUAUGCAAUUGGGGUCUUUAUAUUGCAUGGCUGUUGACUUAACAAGGAUAUGGACCAUGUUGGUUUAAAAAAAAAAACAUUUUAAUAAAAUCAGUAUGUGCAAGGGAUUGACAGCUGUAGAGCUGUUACACAGUUUGGAAUGGGUUGUUGUAUGGAAUGGCCAGGCAACUAUACACCGUCUUUUGCGCACAUGUAGGGUGUAGUGUAGUUCCUUCAUGCCUCGACAGAGAACUGCAACCUCUCAGUCAAUCUCAUUCUGGCGUUAUGAAUCUCUGUCACAGGCAUUACAAAACAAAGGAGUUGCCCAUGCACAAAAUAGGGACCACUAAUGUAGGGCUGGAUGCGUAUCUUUUUUUCCCAGGAGGUUUAGGGGCAAGGUCAUGAAUAAUUGUCUCAACGAUAAAUUUGGAGCAGAAAAAUAGUCGAUGAAAAUGAGCAGGACGGUGUGGAUUCGAACCAGGGAUCUUUGUAUCCAUAGCUCAUCUCGCUAUCCACUAGGCUACUGUGUGGUUGCUCGACACCAAUCGUUCUUUAAAAUCUUUAAUGUAACUGGUUGACUAAAUAACAACAAUGCUGUUGAUGUCAUUGUUCUGUUCUCAUGAAUAAACAUCAUUUUCCUAUCGAAACUACUGAAUUAUUCAUGAAUUUGCCCUAACCAUCCUAG